CCUUAAAAUGGGAGGCGCUAUAGCGUUGUGCCUAUACCGGGCCGUCGGUCGGCAGUGCGAUACAUCUCCUCUCGAAAGAGAGCAGAGGUGCUGAGGCCCCGACGAGUAGGGGGGUCGCGACGGUGAGCGUUGAAGGGUUAUGGGCGCGAGCCUGCCCGGAGCCGCCGUCGGUGCAGAUCUUGGUGGUAGUAGCAAAUACUCCAGAGGGAUCCUGGAGGACUGACGCGGAGAAGGGUUUCAUGUGAACAGUGGUUGGACAUGAGUCAGUCGAUCCUAAGCCGCAGGAGAAAUCCGACCUAGUGAAUGGCGUGAUUUAUUAAAAAAAAAUUCGUGGGUGCGGCCUCGUCCGCCACGAUGAUCAAUUUUUAUAUAUCAGAGGCGCUUGCUUGGUUAAGGCGAAAGGGAAUCCGGUCCUAAUUCCGGAACCAGGCUGUGGCUACGUCCGACGAACAACGAAUUAACCCUCGUUUUCUCGGUCGCGGUAACGCGACACAAACCGAAGAAGCUGUCGAGAACCCCGGGAAGAGUUUUCUUUUCUGCUUGAGGGACCGAGACCCUGGAAUUCCGUCGUGGAGCGAGAGGGUUUUGGAUACACGCUGUUAAAAAGGCGAUCCCGAAGAGCGCCGCGUUUCCGCGGCGUCCGUGGUCGUUCUCGACUGGCCCUUGAAAAUUCGGUGGGAGGGUUACGUUUUUGGACGUUCACGCCUGCUCGUACCGAUAUCCGCAUCAGGUCUCCUAGGUGGACAGCCUCUAGUCGAUAGAUGAAUGUAGGUAAGGAAAU
rnacentral:rRNA from 1 species